CCCUUAGAUGUCCGGGGCCGCACGCGCGCUACAAUGGAUGAAUCAACGCGUCGUCCUGGUCCGAAAGGGUUGGGGAACCGCUGAACCUCAUCCGUGGUUGGGAUUGGGGUUUGUAAUUAUUCCCCAUGAACUAGGAAUUCCCAGUAAGCGCGAGUCAUCAGCUUGCAUUGAUUACGUCCCUGCCCUUUGUACACACCGCCCGUCGCUCCUACCGAUUGAAUGAUCCGAUGAAUAUCUUGGAUUGAGGAUGCAAGUAGGUUAGCCUAUCUUCAUCUUCGAGAAGUGAAGUAAAUCUUAUCAUUUAGAGGAAGGAGAAGUCGUAACA
rnacentral:rRNA from 1 species